rnacentral:lncRNA from 1 species
GUGAGUUCCACACUUUUACUUCAAUACUAUAGUACAAAAUUUGACACCAUACACUUGUGAUAAUUUCUCGUUAUGAAAAACGCGUGGCAAUUACUUUUCUCUCAAGUACCCUAGUCAUAGACGAAUUACCAGUAUAUCUUUAUUUUUCAAAUCAUGGCUUACCAAUUCAAUCCAACACAUUAAACCACUCUGCGCCUUAAAUAUAAGCAAAUCAUUCAAUUAUCCAGAAGUAAAAUACUUAAUAAGUAUAUCCCAAUGUUCCAAAUCAUCAAGGCAUGAGCGUAACUGAACGAGAACUAGACAAAUCUCUCAUUCUUAA